rfam:Rosellinia necatrix DNA, scaffold: Contig59, strain: W97.
ACAAGAGUUAAGGUUCCGAAAUUAUUGUUAAGUGAAAUUAAGAAAGUCUUUAUUCAAGUCGACAAGGAGAUGGGCUUAGAAGCAGCCAUAAUUCAAAGACCUCGUAACAGAGCGCUUGUUAAUUUUUAAAGGCGUCGAAAAUUUAACGGAUCUAAACAAUGUACCGAAACCUUGU